AAUAUUGCACAAUGGGGGAAACCCUGAUGCAGCGACGCCGCGUGAGUGAAGAAGUAUUUCGGUAUGUCCAGCUCUAUCAGCAGGGACGAUAAUGACGGUACCUGACUAAGAAGCCCCGGCUAACUACGUGCCAGCAGCCGCGGUAAUACGUAGGGUGCAAGCGUUAAUCGGAAUUACUGGGUGUAAAGGGUGCGUAGGUGGCUAGACAAGUCAGAUGUGAAAGCCCGGGGCUCAACUCCGGGACUGCAUUUGAAACUGUAGAGCUAGAGUGCAGGAGAGGUAAGUGGAAUUCCUAGUGUAGCGGUGAAAUGCGUAGAUAUUAGGAGGAACACCAGUGGCGAAGGCGGCUUACUGGACUGUAACUGACACUGAGGCACGAAAGCGUGGGGAGCAAACAGG
rnacentral:rRNA from 1 species